AUAGCAUCGUUCGGAUUUUAAUUAAGACCACCAAGUUAUAUUAUAUUAAACUUUUAGUAUUAU
rnacentral:ribozyme from 1 species